GUAGGUGAACCUGCGGAAGGAUCAUUAACACUAAUCCAAUUCACCUUAACCAAUCCUUAAGUGCAGUAACGGGUCCAGCCAGCGAAAGCCGGUCGGGCAUUGUUACCGCUCUAUAAACCUAAUCAACCAAAGGAGCCUAACUAAGCUCAACAACUAAAACCAAAUUCUCAACGAUGGAUAUCUUGGUUCCCAUAACGAUGAAGAACGCAGCGAAGUGCGAUAAGCAAUGCGAAUUGCAGAACCGUGAGUCAUCAGAUUUUUGAACGCAACUGGCGCCGAUUGGAACUCCAGCCGGCAUGCUUGUUUCAGUGUCUCUUUUUCUCAUCACCCAAAUCUUAAUGCGAGAGAUACCCUUCUCUUGUCAAGUACGAAAGCACUCUGAGCCCUGCGAGUGGCUUGGCUUCGGUCAAGGCCACACUCAAUGCAGCAGUCACAUUUCACAAUGUGAACUCAUUGAGAGUAGAGUCAGCGCAGUUUACUGCUAGUGCUUAGAGCCUUUAAACUCUUCUUGUAUCUGAAAUCAAGCAGGACCACCCGCUGAACUUAAGCAUAUCACUAAGCGGAGGAAAAGAAAUUAACUAAGAUUGCCUCAGUAACGGCGAGUGAAGCGGCAAAAGCCCAAACUGGAAAUCUCCGUGCUUCGCACGGCGAAUUGUAAUCUACAGGUGGGUAGCUCAAUUGGCUGUGGCGCAGAAGUGCCUUAGAACGGGCCGCCAUAGAGGGUGAAAGCCCCGUACGUGGUGCCAUCGCCUAACGAGCUCCUUCCGACGAGUCGGGUUGUUUUGAAUUGCAGCCCUAAGCUGGGAGAUAGACUUCUUCUAAGGCUAAAUAUAUAUGGGAAACCGAUAGCGAACAAGUACUGUGAAGGAAAGAUGAAAAGAACUUUGAAAAGAGAGUCAAAAGACUUGAAAUCGUUGAGAAGGAAGCGGUAGAAAUUUAUUCUUCUGGUAAGAACAAAGGCAUCCGCCUAACCAUUGAGGGAGUGCUGCACUUAAAAGGCAGUACCUUUUACUUGGGGAAGCGGUAGCUGGGUUCUUACCGUGAGGCAAGUUGGGGUGUCGCACUCCCAUAAGCUGAGUAAAGCUGGGCCUUUUCGGAGGUCACUUUGCUUGUGUUGGGGAGCGUGGCGCCUGAGGAAGCUUUGUGCGAACUUGCCAAAAUGGUUUUUACCGACCCGUCUUGAAACACGGACCAAGGAGUCUAACAAAUAUGCAAGUGUGCUGGUCCAAAAACCAACACGCGUAAUUAACGUGAUUGAUGCCACUACAACUGCAGCAUCGACCGACCAUGAUCCUCUGGAGAAAGGUUUGAGUAUGAGCAUAUCUGUUAGGACCCGAAAGAUGGUGAACUAUGCCUGGGUAGGGUGAAGCCAGGGGAAACUCUGGUGGAGGCUCGUAGCGGUUCUGACGUGCAAAUCGAUCGUCAAACUUGGGUAUAGGGGCGAAAGACUAAUCGAACCAUCUAGUAGCUGGUUCCCUCCGAAGUUUCCCUCAGGAUAGCUGGGACAAUAACGCAGUUUUAUUAGGUAAAGCGAAUGAUUAGAGGCAUCCGGGGUAAUUUGCUCUGGACCUAUUCUCAAACUUUAAAUUGGUAAGAACUCUGGCCUUUCUUAAUUGAGGCAUGGAGGAUCAAUGCGUGUCCCAUGUGGGCCAUUUUUGGUAAGCAGAACUGGCGAUGAGGGUUGCUCCUAACGUCAAGUUAAGGUGCCCAACUACACGCUCAUCAGAAACUACAAAGGGUGUUGGUUCAUAUAGACAGCAGGACGGUGGCCAUGGAAGUCGGAACCCGCUAAGGAGUGUGUAACAACUCACCUGCCGAAUGAACUAGCCCCGAAAAUUGAUGGCGCUUAAGCGUGUGACCGAUACUUGACCAUUGUAGCGAGAGUGAGGCUGCAAUGAGUAGGAGGGCGUGAGCGUUGUUGCGAAGCCUUUGGCGUGAGCCUGGGUUGAACAGCGUUUAGUGCAGAUCUUGGUGGUAGUAGCAAUUAUUCAAAUGAGAACUUUGAAGGCCGAAGUGGAGAAGGAUUCCGUGAGAACAGCAAUUGGUCACGGGUGACUCGAUCCUAAGACAUGGGGGAAAUCCUUGUUAAGUGCACCAUUUGGUGCGUAGUCGAAAGGGAAUGAGGUUAAUAUUCCUCAAGCUGGAUGUGGGUGUUGUAUGGUAACAUAAGUGAGCUCAGAGACGCCAGCACGAGCCUCUGGAAGAGUUAUCUUUUCUUUUUAACAGUCUAACGGCCUUGAAAUUGGAUUAUCCAGAGCUAAGGCGGUAUGGCUGGAAGAGUACCUUGCUUCUCGAGGUAUCAGGUGCGCUCGUGAUGGCCCUUGAAAAUCUGAGUGAGAUAAUUUCACACCAGGUCGUACCCUAAACCGCAUCAGGUCUCCAAGGUU
rnacentral:rRNA from 1 species